AUGGUUAAGUUAGAAAGGGCGCACGGUGGAUGCCUUGGCACUAGGAGCCGAUGAAGGACGGGACGAACACCGAUAUGCUUCGGGGAGCUGUAAGCAAGCUUUGAUCCGGAGAUUUCCGAAUGGGGAAACCCACUGCUCGUAAUGGAGUAGUAUCCAUACUUGAAUACAUAGAGUAUGAGAAGGCAUACCCGGGGAACUGAAACAUCUAAGUACCCGGAGGAAGAGAAAGCAAAUGCGAUUCCCUGAGUAGCGGCGAGCGAAACGGGAACAGCCCAAACCAAGAGGCUUGCCUCUUGGGGUUGUAGGACACUCUAUAC
rnacentral:rRNA from 1 species